ACAGAGCUGCGUGGCUAGCAUUUCUAUUACUGGUACAGUGCUUGGAGAAAGUGGGAAAAAAAGGCUCGAUGGUACUUUCUAUGUUUAGUAUUAAGAAAAUAUGCUUCUUUCAGCUCAGGUAUCUAUGAGUGAUGGGCAUGCAAAGAAGGAUGGACACUUUAUACUCAAGCUAGAGCAUAAAGAAACUUAGAAAACUGGAGAAAACAUGCAUAACAGCAUCCUGACUUUUGGCAUAUCAACAAAUUCAAGACAUCCAAAGAACAGUGGCUUUUUCUACAUUUUGAUCAACACAGUAUCUAGCCUACUGUUUUUUCCCCACCUAACAUCUGGCAGUUUGCCCUUCCACUAAAAUUUCAGGAAGAGAAGGAAUAUAAAUUUGGUUGAAGUAGAAAGAUAGUGAAGAUAACUGCUGACAAGUCUUUUGGCAAGACAUAAAAAGAAUGACACAAUUUGACCUCCAGGGCAUAAUGGAUUUAAUUUGCUGUUGGUUCAGACUCAUGAUAAACGAUUAAGAAGUUUCUCUGUCCCAGUGAAAACAGAUACACAGCUCACCCAACUUAAUAUUCCUACAGACAAACUAUUUAUCUGUACUUUAAAAAGUUGGAAACCAGAGACAAAGUAAGUGGCUGUUCCCACAGAGGUACGUGAAACAUACAACAUCACCCUAGGCUGCUAGAGCAACCAUUAAUACUCCUGACAAAUGUCAUCAAAUGCACAGAUACAAUACAAGGAGAAAAACUAUUUUCCCCUUUCAUGAGCCUUGAACAAGCUGCAGAAAAUUCUCAAUAGCCUAGACAUACCCAACUCAGUCAUCCAGCUUGUGUUGAAAGUUUGAAGAAUGAAACCUGUCAAGAGACCAGUAAGAGAUUUGGAACAACCCUAAAUUAUUGCUUCAACUAUCUAUACCAAAGCAAAAAAUUGUACUUAAUUAUCAGUCAUCACAAACUAUGUUAUCCUUUUUAUAGAAAACUCCAAGAAUAAAAAUGUAUCAGAACACAAAAGAUGUACAACCCAAAUGAAAUUAAUUCCUUCUACAAAAUAUAGUAUAUAAUGCACCACCUUCAGAGGAGCAGAGAAACGAUGAAUCCUGUGGUUCCCAUCCUUUCAUAAUUCUUCUAAAUGCCAGCUAUACAUGUAAGUCUUCGGAAAAAAGACAGUACGUGUAAUUUUAAAAUAUUUAAUCUCAGGAUGUGAAAUAUUUUGAAAAAGAAGUUUAAAUAAGCAGGGAAAGCCAACAAGAAUGUUACUUAGAUUAGGUGCUCUGAAACUUGGGUGUCCUGUCCUUGUCAAAAGCCUUUAUUCACCUUAGAAACAGCAACACAGGGAAAUUCACCAAAAUGCAGAGAAAUUUCAAAAUGAUGAGUCAUGUCCUCUUAUAUAUUUUCUACUUUUACUUAAUAAAUUACCUACUUUUUUUUUGUACAUCAUUUGCACUAUUUAAAAGCACUAUCCCAAAGCCCUCACUACCAGACACAGUUGAUAAAAGAACAGUUUUCUUCAUAGAUUUCUUACUUCAGCAUACUGUGGGAAAAUUGUCACAGAAAUGUUUACAGCAAAAAAGAAAAAAAGUAAUCCUAAUUUACCAGUAAUCUUUCAUUCAUCGAGUUACACAGUGAUGCUCUUUUGGUAGUACAAGUACUGCUGCGAACACAACGUACAGAAAGCCUUACCAGUUGAACUGAGAUAUCACAUACUUUAAGAUGCCUGAAUGUGACAUCCUGGCUAAUUUGAAGCAUCUCCUGAACAGUGCAUUUAGCAGCCACUUGACGUGCAGGGAAGCUUCAUCUGUAAGUAGGUUUCUCAUCUAUCAAACACUCAAAGACCCUUCUGUUGAGUUAGUAUGGGCAUGCUGGCUAUCAUUUUACUAAAAGUCAUCCUCUUAGGUGAGUUAGCUUCUCCAGCAGAUGAGUAUCUGCAGCUUGGCUCAAGUGUAAGCAGACACCUAUUCCAAAAGUCAGUUUCCCAUACACAGAGGCUACGAGUUGCUGAAACUCAAAGUUACAAAGCAUUGGCUAGUUGGCUAAAUCUGGAGAGGGCUUUACCUGUGGGGCUUGACGAUCCAAUUCCUUGUAUUGUCAAGGGAGCAGUUAACCACAAAUGCAGUUGUUAAACUAAUGCAUCUGUGAAAGCUGCUGCAGCUCAUUUAAUAGUGUGUAAAUUUAACCCUUCAGAAAUAUAGAUAUUUUGUAAUACCAUAUAUGCUACAUAAAUCGAAGUUGAAAUAAUUUUCACCAAGAUACAUUAUGCUUGGUCACAUAAAAAUAAACCUCAAGCAUACCUGUGCUUUCACUAAUUUCUGUGACAUGAGAAAUGUGGCCAUUUCUCAUUUAUCCUUCAGUCAGGAUUACUGUCAUCAUCAAAUACCUGCAUAAGAAGCUGGAAAAAAACCAUAAUUUCGAAGUAAUGCAGCAGUUACGUUCAGUACUCUCAUCUGUGAAAAAUGUUACCAUAAAAAAGCACAAGAAGGAAGAGCAACCAGGUUUAAAUGUGACACAUAUACUUUUCUGGUCAAAGGAUAGUAAUACAACUAUUUCCUGCCCCAGACAGAGGGAAGAUUACAAACAACAAAUUCUAGCAAACAGACUGUACUUCUUAAUACUGAGCUUUACACAUUUAUCAUAAGAAAAAUAAUUUAAUUUACAUCAUAUGAGUUACAAAUCAAUUGCAAAAUUACUAUGAAUGAUUAUUAAGUCCUUAUAGAACAUACAAUGCUGAAGUGUGAUCAAACUAGACAAAUCUAGCAAAUAAUGCCAUUACACAAUUUUUUUAAACGGAUAAUGAAAGGUUAUAUAGAAGCUAACAGUGCCACAUACACUAACUUAGACUCAGAUGCUAUGUUUGUAAAAAAGACAUGAAAAUGAAAAAUCAUUAAAUAGCUCAGUUCUACACGCUCAGUAAAAUAGAUAUAUAUAUAGAGAGAGCCUUGUCUUGCAACACAUCAUUACAAAUCUCUGGCACAGCAGCAGAAAACCUGCAGUCCCACAUUUCAGAAAUAUCUUUCUUAACUGCCAGCCUAGCAACAGCACUCAGAAACUGUCCCUUUGAAUAUUGGUGUGAGUUAAUGGAGGGAAAGCCGCGAAAAUAACUAGAGGUCAUGUGGGGAAGAAAAUUAGAUAUACUGAAACACAGCAAUUUCCAGAGAACAGAGACUGUCAAUAUGUAUAAGAUUUUAUCCCAUAACAGCAGAUGAAACAACUGUACUCAAAUCUUAAAAUGGUCCUUAUAAUUCAGAGGUAAUGCAAUGUCAAUAAAAGAAGAAGCAAGUAUAAAAUUUAAUAAAAACAGAGUACAUGAAUCUUGCGGUGCAAGUGAACACCUGGGACAUAAUCUGCUCAAAAUAGAAAAAUGUUAAAAGAAAAGAAACCACCAAACCAUGAGAGCAAAACAUUGUACAAAAGACAGAAAAGCAUUUUGCUAAAUGAAGUACUGCUGCUUUUAAAACAGCCAAUUUUAAUUUGUGACAAAUGACUAAAUAACGUAAUUUGCUUAACUUCCUCGAUUGCCUGAAAAAUAGCACAAUUUCAUACAUUUAUACUAGUUUUAAGCAUAAAAGAUUCUGAGUAAAUUGACAAUAAUUAUUUGAUUGUCAAGCAAUUAUUUCAUGUAAUAAUGCAUUACUUUUAAUCACUGAAAGUCCACCAAAACUAAAUGGCAGUCAACGAGUUAUUUAUGUUCAGAUUUAGAAAUACCAAUAAUAUGCUCACUGGGCUAUUUAGAACUCUAGAGGAGACAGGCAUAAAAAAAAUACACAAAAGAUGAAAAAGAACCCUACUUCUUUUAUAUUGUAAUGAUUUGAAAUGCACCUUGAAAGAAGGACAAGAUGUAAAUGGUAAAAGAGAUAAAUACAAAUAUAUGAAUGGAAAAAUUAGAACUAAUCUGGAGAAGCUUCUGAGAUAGAUGAUAAAUACGGUGCACUGAUGCCUACAAAAAUAUAGUAAUAUUUUUGGUAAUAGGUACUAAAUUAUAAAACUGUUUUCAUUUUAACUUCGUCUCUUUCUAUAGGAUCUGGAAACUGUUCUUUUAGGUAUUUAAUGACAGACGUUAUGAACAAUCCACACUAUUCAUAUUAGUCUCACCUAAUAAGCUGGGAUUGUCAAUUUCAUUUGUUUAGUUUAAUGUUUUUUAUAUUAACAGAGCUACUGGACAAGCCACAGGUAUUAUAGCUUUUUGGGUUUUUAAUGAUAAUUGAACUGAUUUGUUACCAUUACAGUCUGACAACUCUUUUCAUUCAUACAAUGUUUAUUCACAUAAUUUCAUUCUUGAGUGUUCAACAGAUUAAAAUGUUUAAUUUGAAGAGAAAAAAUUACAGGAAAGAACGACAAGAAGAAUGAUGAUUUAAUUAAAAUAUUGUCUAGCAAAAUAUCAAUGAACAAAGUAUCAAGAAUAAACAUGCAAACAAAGGUUUGCAGUUUUUGCAGUUGUUUUUAUAUAAAAACAUAAAAUAUGAAAAUUCUAUAUUCAUAUCACUUUAUUAAAAAAAAAAAAAUCAAAGGUCCAUCUGAGUUAGAUUAAGUUUGUGAAGUUCCAUACAGCAGAGCCUCUUGCAUGAAAAAGAAACAAACAUACAGGAAAAUUACAAAGCUGCACUAUUUUCAAAGCUCUCAGCUUUAGAUAUACUGUGUAAAUAAAAUAUUAAUUAAAAAAAAAUAGUGUAUCAUAUUUCUUUAGCGUUUAGAUUAUGCUAGUGCAGUUAAAAGAUUUCAGUCUUUUCAGUUAUCAGGUUGGCACCUACCAGUUUCCUAAGUAACUGAUAAUGGCAGCAGCUAUACACCUGAAGGAAAUUGAGUCUUGCUUUGCCUUCAGCUUGACUCUAGAUCCAACUUCAUUUUUGCCUGGGCUGAGUCUCUGCCAGUAGUCAUUUAUAUUCAUAUUUCACCUAAGUCAUAGUAAAACUGAAAAUACUACAGUCAAUCUUUAUUUGUUUAAGCAAAAAAUGCUUAAUACAAAAGAACGUGUAUCACAAGAUAGAGUCAUGCAGAAGAACGUCUUUAGAGUUCAUGCAUACUUCCCCAUCAAUCUCUAAAACAAGAUAUAAAGAAUUGAAACUACAUCCAAGUAGUUUCCUGUUCUUCCCCAGAUGUGAUUUGCAGGUGAAUUAACAAUCUCCAAUCAAACAGUACUAAAAGAAAACAGACAUACUUGCUAAUUUCUGCAAUUUACCUGACCUCAAAAUCACCUACAACAGAAACUAUACAGUAGCCCAAUUUCACUGCCUAAGUUGGUGACAACAAAAACAUUUAUGGGCAAUGAUACACAGCAAGAAUUGUCUCACUACCACGAUUUAAAUAGGGCACAAGGUGCCUGUUGACACCCUGCCAUGGUGUCAAUACCUAGUGACAAUAUAUUAACUGCCAGUAACAAAAAUUCCUUUAAGACAGAAUAAGAAGUAAAUCUGACCUGCCUCAAGAAAGUAAUGACAUUUUUCAAGAAAAUAAAUAACUUUGCAGUUCUUGACCUAGUCUUCUCUAACCAGGAACCACAGGGGUCAUCAACACUUGUUAUGGAUCAUAGAUGAAUGAAAUAAUUAAUUUGGAAAAUGCCACCACUAGAAUAUUAAUCAUAUACUAGGAGGUUUCAUAAAUUCCUUCUAUUGUGUGCAUUUCCUCCAUGCAGCAUAAACACCCAACAGCAUACCCUACUUUUAAUGGUAAAAAUAAUGCAAGGGCCAAUUAGUUCAAAUUUUACAUAUUUAAAACAGCAGUUUUUUCCAUCUCUAUUUUCAGAAAAUGCAUUUUCAAAGAAACCUAAAUAACUAAGAAGUUCAUAGUUAAUGGAUCUGUUCAAGGAAAACAAUCUUAAUGGAUCCUGCAAUUUGAUAUUACAUAAUUUUCUCUAAUUGUACAACUUCUCACGACUCUGAAUGACUGACAAAUCCAUGUAAGACCGGUAUUAAGAAGUGUGUUUUGUUUCAUGAAUCAAAAUCUGGGCUGAACACUUCUACAGAUUGUAUUUUUUAGCCUGGGAAAGAGAAGAAGAUUUUAUUUAAACACUGACAUCCAUGGAAGUAUGCGUACAGAUAUACACACGAAUGUAAACACACAUCUCAAAUUAUUUUGUCUAAUUAAUUUAAAAUUUAAUUAUAUGCAACAUUUUUGGACUAUCAAUCUAUUUAAAUUAGCCAUGAAUGUCUGAUGUAAAUCAAGAGCAACAAUUACUAUAAACUUAGUUACAUUAAAAAUAAUCAGAAAAGAUUGUUUGGUGAACUUGAAUCAAAUCUAGCGCCCAUCCAAAUGUAGCUUCUCACACAUGACUAGUAAAGAAAAAACAUACCUCAACCUAAUCAUUUUCUAAUCAAAUGUAAACAAUAAGGAUUCAAUUAAAAAUAUACUGAAUUCCAUGAAUGUUUCAGUAGGUAUAGAUAAAAUAUAUCUUCCUAACUCAAAAAUGAAAAAAAAAGAAAAGAAAUUCAGUUAACAUCUACACAGCACAACGCAGUGCUGUGCAGAUGCAGAUAACACUCCUCAGUAGGGCAAAACAGCCACAGCAGAGAGCUGCAUUAAUGCAAGAUGUGACCUAGCUUCCUUGGAGCACUGCACUGUGUCCUAUAAAUAAAGAUUUCUCAACCAUUUAGUUACAAAUUGUCAUGCUUUGCUGACUGGUAUCCAAAGAGAAACUUCAGGUGAAAAAUGAAAAGUACAAAUGCAAGCAACAGUGUUUGAAUCCUGUCUUCCUGCUUUCUAAUUUGAUCUUGCUAAGCCUGAACACUGAAGAUAUCUGAUGAGAAAGCGUACCUUGCUGCCUGUUCUGCAGAUGAUCUCAGGCACAAUGACUUUGCCUUCACAAAACUCCGCAGCCUUCAUGAGCGUUGGGCAACUGAAUUGUUUUUUCAGCUUUCCAAUCUUAACCCAGUUCUGACCAAAACUGUUUUAUUUUAUUUACCUUCUAUAACUUACAAGCAGUAACAGUAUUUUUUUCUUUUCUAUUUUCAUUUAUAUCACCUUUUCCUUGUAAUUUAGUUGUAAAAAGACCUAUAUGUAUUUCACAUUGCAAAUAUAAAAAGAGUGUCAGAAUUUCUGAUCAUUUCUUUUUGCAUUGCCAUGCAGCCAUGGACCUGAACUGUUGUACUGCUGAGUGUGUCCAAAGAGAAGAAAUGGCGAAGAGAAUGGAAGAAGGUGGGAAAAGAUGGGGCAGAGAGAAAGGGAGAGCUGAAGAGAAAGAGAGGGAGAAAGCACAGGAAGGACAAUGGAGAGAAGGGUAGAGAGCAAGGCAGACAAAGAGACAAAGCAGGGAGAAACGGGGUUGGAGAGAGAAAUGGGGAGAGUGAGAGAAAGGAGUGAGUAGGGAGGGACUGGGAGAAAGAAAAGGAGGAAAGAGAGUCUCUGCUCUCUCGGAAAGGAGCUGAAGGCUGUCACCUAGAGUAGCAACACAUACAUACUUAAUAUAUUUAAUGUACUAUCAACAACUAUGUGAUUCAAGAUUCCAGACUGCAAACUUACACUAUUCUCAUACUCUAGUGCAUUCAUUUUCCAAAAAUUGCAUUCAUUUCUACUUAAUUUUCCAAAAAUUAAACACCCCCCCAAGCAACUGGCAACAAAAGCUCUAAUAAACACAUCCUUCAACUUUUUUGUUUAUGCAGUUAAUAAUUAUAUUCUACACAUCAUGACAAAAACUGUAGAUAUGAUUUUCUCACUAUCCUAGUAACUCAGGUUAUGCCUUGGUCAUGUAUGCAGGACUUCAGUGGCAAGCCUUGAAUAAUUAAAAAUAACUUAUUACUUAUAAUACUAUGACAUAAAACAAAGAUAUGAUUUCAAGGUCUGUUUUCUUUCUAAAUAUACACAAUGUUAAGCUCUCUAGAAUAAAGCAGAGAACAAGCAUAAAAGUUUUUGCUUGGUUGGUUGAUAUUGGUUGUUUGUGUUCCCACUGUUUUUCAAAGUCUACUCCACUCACAUAAGGCACAGAUUUAUACCAGGUAACUAGCAAAGCAUAUUACAUCAUUCUUAGUUUGAGGCAAAAGAUUAUAUGUAAGUCCUUAAUGGUUUAUUUGCAAUGGAAAUCUGCAAGAAGCUAAAAUCUUAACUACCUAAUUUAAAAGUGAUCAUUCAUUACAAGUGUGGUUUUAAAAGAUGAUUGCUUCAAAUGCAUUUAACAUCUAAACAACCUUAUAUUGUUUUAAUUCACAAAAGACAGUUCAAAUAUGCAGAUGUUUUUCCCCCAAAUUACGUAAAUAUUAAAAAUUAAACUUUUUUUUUAAGAGGUUACCUAAGUAAACAUUCACCAACGUUACAGCAUCUGAAAAUGUGUAAUAAACUGAAACAAGAAGGAAAAGGUGCUAAAACAUUAAAGGUUUCUGAUUUUAAAUAAUACUUUAAAGUCAGAUAAUAAAACACAAGUAACUGUGCACCAAACUGCAGAUGCUUUAUGGAUUUGGUUAGGUCAAGAUCUUUCUUUUGCCAGCUGGCAGAUACACACUGAGCCACAUGCAUGGAUCCAUUAUAACACUGUAGCUGAAUCGGAAAUCAGGACUGCUAGUAAACCAUAAUCAAUCCCUAAUUAACAUAAAAUACAUCGUAUAUACCCUGGCUCGAGUUUAUCGUAAGUACUAAUGAACACAGCUGGGAGGAGCUAUGUGCAAUAACUAAUACACACACAUCUGCCACUUAUCUGCUGCUGCUUCUCACUGGACUUGCAAUCCAAUUUAGUAUGCUCUGUUUCCAGCUUAGUUCAAAUGAAGUGCUCUCACAGACUUCUGCUUCCCUGCCCUAAAAAGUCUUUGAGGCCACUUCAUUCUGAGUAAUUUUUCAUCCUACAGUUUUGGACACCCUUUGGCACUGAGAUUUCAGUGAUCACAUCUUUUGAUGCCUUAUUAAUUUUAUUUCACUGGUGGUUCACACUUCUGAUUCUUUGUCAUUUUCUGUUGGUCCUUGUGUAAAUCCAUUUGCUGAUGAUUCUGAGACUUCUUUGCACUCUCCCCUCCCAGUUUUGUUUGUUUUUUUUUUUUUUUUGCAGAACAAGAGUCCAAAUACACGAACAUUACUCAACAAAGAUGAUUACAAUUUAUUCUGCACCACCUCAUCAUUUGAAUUCAGAGGUUUCAGCAUACUCUGGUCCAUGUCUCUCCUGUCCAAACAAGCUGUUAUAAUGUCCAUUUGCUUGUUUGGUAUCACUCCCACCUCAAUCCUUUGAUGCACAUGUAAGUCACUAUCUGUCAAAUUACACUGUCCUCUGAAACAAGACUCCUCACUUUUUUUUGUUUUUUUGUCUUCUAGAAACCUUAGGAGGAUUGUUGCUUUCAGCAACAACGUUAGCCACCUGUGUUAGGCCUCUGCACGUACUGAUCAAUAGCCUGAUCAGGGCCAAAUGACUGCAGACACACACCAAUAUGAUGAGCAGCAAAAUGGUGUCUAUUCACUACUAAACACAGCUUAUAUACAUUUUUACCUACAAAACCAUGCUGUCAUGUCCCACCCUGAUUGGUUCACACCAGAUAACACUGUGCCUUAUUUGGCCAUUUCUUUUCUCAUCCUUCUUCUUCUCCUGUUUUCUCUGCAUCAAGGUCAGCACGAUAGCACUGUCUCUCUAUGUUUAGGGAGAGGCCUGUCCCGUACAUCCCAUAGCCCCCACAAGACGCCUACUACAACAGAGGAUCAAUUCAGGCAAUAUUCUGAUCAGCUCUUAAAAAAUAAUAUUCCCUUCUUCAUCAGCAGUGCAGCAUAUUAAGCCAUUUUCUAUUUCUGCUCUCCCAGGCUUCUCCUGCACCCUGCUGUACAUACACAAACAAAGUAAGGGCAAUUCCAUACCAGCAUGCCAGGCAGCACACUUCUAUUUCCAUGUGUGCUUCCCACUCAACUUCCAGGGAACGCACAGCAUACUAAAGGUACCAAUUCCUAAACAGAAAAUGGAGUCUCCAAGUGCCCAGCCCACCCAGAACUUGGGCCACAUCUUCCUGUGUGCAGCAUGGCCUUAGGUCCCUGGGGCUUCUUGGCACAGGCCUCCUCUGUAAGGAGGCUCUUCCAGCAGUGCGUUAUGUGGGAAAUGAAGUAUGCAGAAGAGCUGUCCCUUCAACUACUAAAAACAUAACAAGGCAAACAGCAGCCUUCUUUCACUCUCUCUCCAACAGAAAGCAUUGCCCUCCUGCAGCAAUUUCUGCUCUUGCAAGGCAGAUAAACAAGAAAGACAGAGGAGGCAAUAUGAGACAAAAUGAAAAGGUACUCUCCUCAGCAGUCAUGUGUGCUUUGGAGAGAACCACGUUCCAUAGUGCGCUAGUGUACUUUACACACCGGGUUGAUUGAGAAAAAGUUUUUAAAGGCUGGAAUAAUAUUUUUUAGUGUCUUGUACAGCUUUGAGCGGAUUGCCAGCACUUAAAUAAUUAAUAACAACAACAAUAAGAAAAACAAACAAUGAUAAGUGCACUCUAUGGAUACUGAAUCUCUUUGCAGGGUCCCCUAGAAGUCAUUAGGUGUCCUCCCCCAUAAAUAUUUAAUAAAGAUUUGAUUUCCAGGCACUUCCAGUGUCUAAAAUGUUCUCUUAAAAAGCCUGUGAAAGCACAGAAUUGUUAAACAAAGACCAAAGAGGGAUAUUACUUUUUCACUUUACAAAGUUUGAGCACUUUAUGUCAAAUGAUACAUGCUGUUAUUAUAGCUUCAUCUUGAGUAAUGGUUUUAAUUUUCUAUUUCAUCAAAGAAGACAGACCGUUGUGUUACUAGUAUAGGGUUAGAAGUGAAUUAUCUAGUUAAUAUUUUAGGCAAGGGUAACUGUUGUAACUUAGUCAUUAAAAGUGUAAUCUGGUGUCCCCAGAUUUACAAUUAAAAGAAGAGACGAUGAGGUGGCCAGUAUUUUUUUUAACCAGUAUUAUUUUUAGCUUUCACUCUGGGGAUGAAAAGUUAAUCCCAAGGAAGUCAGAGGCAGAGUCAAUAUUUUAUGUUGCACAGAAACAUGUUCUACACAAAACGUACCUUUAAUUCAUAAGGUUUACCUGAGAAACAUACACAAGCUUGGGGCAGUGCUGCUUUCAAUUGAGAAAAAAUGGUAUUAUUCUAUUUUUCCUCUUUUUAUUGCUGUAUAUUAGUCCUAUAUACUUAUGAUGUGUUACUGUAGGAAGUUGCAGGGAAACCUGAAGCAUUAUAAAUGUAGUAACUUUAGGAAUAUAUAUUUAUUUUCAACUUCAGAAUGUGUAAAAAUUAAAAGGUUUGAGAGCAAUGUCCCUGAAGUGCUUCCUGAAUAUAAAAUGAUGCUACACAAAAUUAAUGAAACCACACUGCUAACAUCACUUUAAGACUUCCAUAAUAAAUUUUGCUUAUUACUCUGUGCCUGUGCCGUAUCGUAAUGAUAGACCCCGUGAUUCUGCCCUCUGCCUUCUCAUUUACUACAAUCUAAAUCAUUUUGAAGAAUACUUUUAUUUUAUCUGUUUCUUGCUACUUCUGCUCUAUGAACACCACGGCCCAGUAAGAGCUUUGCUGUGGAUGCCCUUCAAGGCAAGAGUUUAGCCCUUGAAGUUUUACAGUGGGAUGAAAGAAAGACUGCCCCUUAUAGCACUGUUCUUUAGCAAUUCUAAAGACUGCCUUAGCAGAAGACACACAUGACACUGACCUGGGAUUUUUUCUCACAAAGAUGGGAACUAUUAGGGGAAACUCACUACAGAGUGGAGGGAAGAAGCACAGAGAGACUGAAGACACGGAGCUGAAGCCCCAAGGAAGGAGAAGCAGAUACAGCUGUGUCUGGAAGGAUCGUGAUGUCCCUGCUUCCCUGCCCGCACUGGCAGCAUCUUAGGAUACCCAAGCUUCUUUAUACUGAUAGUACCACUGAACUUUAUUUUCUUCAUUACAGGCUCAAUACAAAUAGUUACAGUCUAAUUUGGGUACAUUUUGCGUAGUUCCCUCUCUUGCUUCACUUCCUCACAAACACAUAAAUACAGCUGUACUAGUAUACACUAAAGCUUUGAAUCAUCACAGCAAAACAUGAUGAACAAAAAUUCCUCCAGUGCUCUGCUGUCCUUCUGUACAUUUCAUCUUUACCUAUCAGAUUUACCACUGAGAUUUUAUCUUUCCCAGAGCAAACACCUGACCUCUGCAUGAUCUUUAAAACUAAUAAUAAACUUACAGCAGUAUGAAAACAUCCUACUUGCUCUGCAAGUAAGCAAAAAAUGUGUUUCUGGAAAGAAGAAGAUAACAAAACAUUUACACUUCCAGAAAAAAAUUCACUGUCCUUGCAGUGGAAGUCUGAGCUGCCAGAAGUGCACCAUCUCAUCCCCUGUCUUCUCUUGCAUCCCCAGCUGGAGCACAGCGCAGGUGUGACUCAGGCUCCUCAGCUGGCACGCAGCCCCCAGCAGUGGGACAACCAGCUCACAGUGCAGGGCUCCUGACUCCGGAGGAGCACCUCUGCCUCCUGAAGUCCAGGACUGCUCACCACAUCACGGCAGUGCCCACACAGCAGCAGGAGCAUUGCUCACACAGACUGAAAUGUCCCCACUUGCCUUUCUGGUGACCCUCCCAGGCUGCCUGCCUUGGAAGUGAUUUGCUUAAGAGAGAUGCUUAAGAGGACAAAAAGUGUCCUUCAGCAGCACUAUGUUCAUCCACUGGCUCUCCACUGGCCAGUCCUACAUUCUUGUUUUUAGUCACACAUAUACAACAUCAUGUAUAUGUAAAUGUAUAUGUAAAUAAACAAUGCUUAUUUACAAAGGAA